AUCGGCCUCAGAUCGGUAGGACUACCC
rnacentral:rRNA from 1 species